rnacentral:rRNA from 1 species
GAUUUAUCCUGGCUCAGGAUGAACGCUGGGGCGUGCCUAAUACAUGCAAGUCGAGCGAACAGACGAGGAGCUUGCUCCUUUGACGUUAGCGGCGGACGGGUGAGUAACACGUAGGUAACCUACCUAUAAGACUGGGAUAACUUCGGGAAACCGGAGCUAAUACCGGAUAAUAUUUCGAACCGCAUGGUUCGAUAGUGAAAGAUGGCUUUGCUAUCACUUAUAGAUGGACCUGCGCCGUAUUAGCUAGUUGGUAAGGUAACGGCUUACCAAGGCAACGAUACGUAGCCGACCUGAGAGGGUGAUCGGCCACACUGGAACUGAGACACGGUCCAGACUCCUACGGGAGGCAGCAGUAGGGAAUCUUCCGCAAUGGGCGAAAGCCUGACGGAGCAACGCCGCGUGAGUGAUGAAGGUGUUCGGAUCGUAAAACUCUGUUA